rnacentral:lncRNA from 1 species
GUUUAACAGCUGUAAGCUAUGUAUAUAUUGAAACGCAGUUUAUAAUAAACUCAGAGUGGCCAUCAGCCCUCUCCGCAUCUAUCCUGGUGUGUACACUGGAUCGCGACAUCGACACAUGUGCAAGAUUUGCCUUUCAGAUCAUGCUCAAACUGAGCUGAAAAGGUCUCUGUGGCUUAGUAGAUGGAAUACAAGAAAAGGAAUGUUCCUGUACCAAUGCUUGCAAACAGGAAGGAGAACUAGGAGGGGACCAUCAGUUCUGAGAAAAUCUGGGGAGCUAGAAAUGGAUGAUACUGGAUAGACUGUCAGUGUGAAAGGGAGCAGCCUCAACCCAGCGUUCCACAGAUUAAGAAUGCUUCUUUUCGGUCAGCUGCUCUGAACGUUUCAAGUCCUGAAAUCAACAAAAAGUCGUAGUGGGCUGUAGGAUAGCUUUCACGGCCAUUAACAAAUGACUUCACUGUAAUGAUCAUACCCACUCUAAUAUAUGGACCAAAGUGACAGGUGACCCACAUUUCCUUCAGGCUAAACUCUGUGAACUGCAUUUGAGAGACAUGUUUCCUGACCCCAAAGAGAAACAGUAAUUUGAGGUACUUCCAGACAGGAAUAGCAAACAGGAGGGGAAAAUGGAAAUAAGUAGAAAUGCUAAUUAGGUUUCCAAGCGCAAAGUAUAUUCAAGUCUUUCUCUUUUAAAAGAAUGUUCUAUUUCAGCAACUUGAAUUAAGAUCUCUAUUCUGACUUGCCUGUUCCUAAAACAAAAGCAAACAGCCUACAGGCCUCACUCAUUCCACAGAGCCCUCUAACAAAAUUUCCACUACACAGAGAAAAUGACGUGAAAACAGCCCAGUGUCAACUCCACAGGACACUUGAAAUUGAGAGCUAUUCCAAUCCUGAAGUCUGUAAGUUUUUUGUAAAGGACAAAAUAGUAAAUAUUUGAAGCUUCGAAGUGUAUAAGGUCUCUGUUGCAACAAUUCAAUUACUGUCAUAUUAGGAAAGCUGCUAUGCAUAUAUCAUAGAUAAUACAUGAAUGAAAUGGUAAGGCUGUGUUAAAAAGAAAAAAAAUCUGUAUUUAUGAAAACAUGUAGCAGGCUGGAUUUGGGCCACAGGCCAUAGUUUACUGACCCCUGUAUUUAUUCGCAAGCAAUGAAUGGAAAUCCAAGGAUUAACAUAUAUUUGAAGAAAAUAGUGUGAAAGAAAAAGACUAAGACGCAACACAACAAUGCAAUUUAUUCAAAGGAAACAAAUAUGUCACGGAAAAGAAGUAAAGUUGUUGGAAAAUCAAAGCAGUACCCUCAGAAAAAUUGCCUACUAAAUAAAAAAAAAUCACAACUAAAGAAUAAGAAAGUGAUGCUGUAAAAUAAGUAUAAAAUGGCAACUUAAAAAAAAGCAAUAGGUAGACUAAAUAUUAAAAUGUAAAUGACUUAAAUUCAACAUAAACAGAAAGAAAAAAAAUACAUGUAAUAAAGGACAGAAAGUUUAAGGGGCAUGAAAAACAGGUACAAGAAGAAUAACAUUUAUCUAAUUCCAGAAAUACAGAAUAGAGAAAUGAGAAAAGAAAAUAAUAAAUGAAACAAAGAAAACUUCCCAGUAUUAACUAAUAGCAGGUCUUUAUAACAGCAUAAUUUAUAAAAUGCCAAACAAGAAAAUUCAUACAUACGCACAUUGUGAUGACGACAAAGAACUCCAAAUAUAAAAAUGAAAGUCCUUGAAGCUUCCAGAGAAAGAGAGAAUAAGAAAAAAUGUGAAGAGAGUAACAUUUUUUUCCUCCAGAAAGAAUAAGAAAUAGAAAGAGAACAAAAAACCUGUCACAAGCAACAAUAUAUACCAGACAACACUGGAGAAGUGCCUUCACUCUUCUUUUUUUUUUAAAGAUUUUAUUUUUUUCCUUUUUCUCCCCAAAGCACCCCGGUACAUAGCUGUAUAUUCUUCCUUGUGGGUCCUUCUAGUUGUGGCAUGUGGGAUGCUGCCUCAGCGUGGUUUGAUGAGCAGUGCCAUGUCCGCGCCCAGGAUUCAAACCAGCGAAACACUGGGCCGCCUGUAGAGGAGCGCACGAACUUAACCACUCGGCCACGGGGCCAGCCCCUGCCUUUGCUAUUCUUGGGGAAACAAUUUUGAGGUUAGAUUUCUAUGCUAAGUCAAAAUAUUGAUCAAGGCUGAUGACAAGAUAAAUAUGUUUUUGGAUAUUCAAAGACAGAAUUCCUUGGCAUUCCAUUCAAAAUUUCUUGAAAUGGGAUUGUAUUAAGGUACUUUUUAAAUGCCACACAUAGCACAGACAACUAAAUGUGUGUACUCUUCUUAUUUUUGCUUAUGAUAAUCCAUAAAUGUGUAAUUUCAUUUGACUCAGCCAAGUGUAGAUAGACAUAUAAUUUUACUGAUAGUCUUAGACAUAGAACUAAGUCUGGAUGGCACAGAUGGUCUGGGAAACUAAGUACAGUCUUAGUAUUGUCUUUACUCUUUUUGCAUGCAAUUAACAGUGGGGAAAUUCACGGUUAUACCUAUUAUAGCGUUAACCACAUGGUGAUUAGGGGAACGUGCUGGGUACUGUUUUGUUUUGUUUUUUUAAUUACUUGGUCAUAAAAUACUUUAAUUUUUCAGCAGUAAAUGUUCCUACUUCUUCCUUACUCAUCUACAGUCUAAUUCCACCAAUAGACUUGAUCUCUCAAAUUUCAUAAGACUUUCUAAUUAUUGAACCAAUAGGAUCUUGCCUUACCUGUCUUGAUUUUACUGCAAUCACUUGAGUUAUUUCACAAUUUUGUCUAAUGUCUCCUUAUUAUAUCCUUCUAUUGCUUGGUCUCUGAAAAAUCUGAAGUCUCUUUUUUUAAUCUCUUCACUUGACCCUUCUUAGUUUUCUUUUCUGGUUUUCCUUGUUUAACCACCACUUAAGUUCUUAGUGCUUAGCUUUUUCCCACUGCAUUCUCAUAGAACAAAAGCAUUUUCCAUUAUGACCAAAGUAUUAACUACUCGGUUAGUCCCCCAUCUGUAUCUUUCCCCCUGAUAUUUCUCCAGACUUCCAAAGAUGAAAUUCAGAAGACCUGCAGAUAUCGUCCCACGGAUGCCACAUCAAGCCUCUAAUUCAACAUCUCUAAAAUAAAAGUGUUAUUACCCAUCCUCCCAACUUAGGUCUGUUCCUAGAUUCAGUAUCCUCGGUAAAGGGUACUUCCAUCUCUCUUGAACAUGUAGCCCUGGUACCUUGCCAAUUUUUGGCUCUUCCUUCAUCUUCUUCUCCCAUGACUCUUCUCUUUCCUUGAUUUCAAUCUUCCAAUCAGUUACCACCAAUUAACUGUAAGUAGAAAAAUGAAAAGAAUAUUCCUGAGUCAUGCUGAGGAAAAAAUAGAUACUUGACUAAAGAUUGCUGUUGCUUGAUUUAAAAUCAAAUGUAGAAGGUGAGAGUAAGAACUACAUUUCUCAUAGUAAUAGAGAUAUUUGAGAAGAUGCUAGGUAGGGAAAGAAGAGCACCAGGGGAGAGGUGUUUGUCAAAUUUCCUACACUCUGCAUUCAUAGACAUUCUCUUCUCCUAUAAUAGUCCUAGGAAUCCCCCAAAACAAAUUCCAUUUUCCAGAUAACUGAAUAUUUCUUUAUCAAAGCUGAACCAGGAAUCUCAGUGAUAUCUUUCUGAAAGUACGCUGUCAAUUUUCUGCAAUGCUAAUCAAAGAAGGAAAUUCUCCUCUUCGUGGGACUCUCAAGUUGCACCAUGAGAACGUAUUGUGGUAGUUUAACGCAUCUUAGUGUCGCCGGCAAACUGGGGCAAGAAUGAACUUCUUCUCUAUUCAUUAAACUUUUCAAACACGUGUUUAGAUUUUUUGUUUUCAAUUCACAUAGUAUAAUUUUUUUCCUUCUUUCCAUAAAGGUCAGCUAUUUUACUGCCACCGAGAAAGUCGGUUUCCCUCUUUCCAAAUACCUUCUUAAAAUUUUCCAAGGAUUUGGAAAUCAGACAACUCAGCCUAGAAUGUUGAAAUUUUACAAUGUUAAAACUUCUUAAAAUUGCCCCACAAUAUCUGUUAAUAGGUUUUGUGUAAAGACAAGAUAAAUGCACUCUUUAUGAACAUUAUGUUACUUUGUUAUGUAUUUCCCUUCUCAGAAAACUUUUGAGUUGUUCCUAAUUUUCCACAAUGUUUCAGAGAGUGGUGAAUGCCAGAACACCGAUGACUAUAUUACUCUGACCUUUUACUGUAGUUGAGAAGCUUUGACUUACACAUAUUUUAAAUUAUUCCUCCUUCAGAUUAAGUUCCAUUUCCUUUCACUUAGCCCUCUGUGGAGAUGAAUAACAGCUGAUGUCUUGCCUCAGCCGCUAAACCUGCAUAACACCUGAAUACUAUUAUUUGAUCACUUCUUCAACAUAAGGGGGGGCAGAACUCUCUGCCUGGCACUGUGCAGGACCUCGGGGCUGCGCAACAGGGAAGAAGACAGAUAUGGACAGUCUGUAUUCUCCUGGAGCCUAUAUGACAUUGGAGGAGACAAUGAUCAAGACAAUAAGCAAGAAAAUACAACAUUUGCAAGCUAUAAUACAGCAAAGUGAACAAAUCCAUCUGUGCAGUUAGAUCAUUACAUGAUGAGCACACUGAGGCACCUACCACCCACAUUAACAAAGUGAACUUGACCGGCACCCCGGAAGCCUCUCUCUUGCUCCUUCCAGUCACUGACCCCUCUCAAGGUUUUAGAUUUCUGCUUCAGAAAUGAUGUCUCCUCUGGAACAGAGCAAUGACUUUAGAAGUGCCCUCAGUGCAUCCAGGGUCCUUCUGCAAACCCAUUCUUGGCACUGACCUAUGGUUCCCUGUCGGAAACAGGGAUCAAACCACCCUCAUACCCUAUCCUCAGUCAUCCCCAUUUCUUCCACUGUGAUCAGAGAAUGGGUCUGGAGGAAAGCAGGCUAUGGACAGGGUAUUGUCAUCCACACCACAGAAGAGGAGAAGAAGAUUGUUUGCAACUUGUUCUCUCAUCCUCCAUCCAACUAGUUUUGCUGAAAGAUUUUACUUAAGAAGGGGCCAUUACACCUUAUACAAAAUUUAACUCAAAAUAGAUUAUAAAUCUAAGUGUAAAAUGUAUAGCUAUAAAACUUUCAGAAUAAAACAUAGGAGAAAAUCCUCAUGAUUUAGAGUUCAGCAAAUAGUUCUUGGACAUGACAUCAAAAAUAUGAUCCAUGCGAGAAAAUAAACUAAAACCUUAUUUAGAUUUCACUAAUUGUCACUGGCAUUUCUGUGUAUAUGUGUGUUUGUAUGUAAUACUGUGAACUUUUAACAUGUGUAUAGUAACUAUCACCAGAACCAGGGUACAGAGCUAUGUCAUCACCACAAAGGAAAAUGAGUUGAUCCGUUUUAUAUUACUAUAAGUUUGUCAUAUUAAGAAUAUUAUAUAAAUGGAAUCAUAUAGCAUGUGAUAUUUUGAUAUUAGCUUUAUUUAAUAUGUGUCAUACAUUUGAAACUCAUCUAAGUUGUGAAUAUCAUUAGUUUGCUCUUUUUAUGUCUGAGUAGUAUUGUAUGGAUGUCCCACUGUUUAUCUUUUUGCCACUUGCAUGACAUUGGGUAGUAUGCAUUUUUUGGCAAUUACAAAUAAAGUUGCUAGAAACUUGUGUGUAGAGGUUUUUGUGUGCAUAUAUACAUUCAAAUACCCUGCACAGCAGAUCAAUAAUGACAUUUUAAAUAACAUUUUGUAUCAACAUCUUCAUUUUAAGGAAUUGUGUAUAAAUAAUGAACAUAAUACAAUUAACAAAAGGCAUAAAGAGAUGUUUUUAGUAAUAAUUUUCUGAAGUUUACUUAGAAACAGAUUGAGCAGUAAUUCUUGGGUGACUUUUAGUAAAUUUGGGUUCUCUAUUAGUAUCUUUUUAACUGUUCAGUGUAACUUUUCUCUUUAUAAAUACUUUUUUAAAAUAGUCAUAAUUUAGCUAAAACUUGAAUGAAAAGCUUAUACAGUAGUUUUGCUGGUUAGUCUACCUAUGUUUUAAAAUGUCCUUUAGUUUCUAG